GGCAACCUGCUGGGGUCGUCUUCCAUAGUGUGGCAGCUUUGUUCUUUUGCUCUGUGCUGUAACUCUUGCUACUGCUCACUGUUUGGGUCCACACUGCUUUUAUGAGCUGUAACACUCACCGCAAAGGUCUGCAGCUUCACUCCUGAAGCCAGUGAGACCACGAGCUCACCAGGAGGAACGAACAACUCCAGAUGCGCCACCUUAAGAGCUGUAACGCCUUAAGAGCUGUAACACCGCGAAAGUCUGCAGUUUCACUUCUGAGCCAGCGAGAUGCGAACCCACCAGAAGGAAGAAACUCCAAACACAUCCGAACAUCAGAAGGAACAAACUCCAGAUGCGCCACUGUAAGAGCUGUAACACUCACCGCGAGGGUAUGCGGCUUCAUUCUUGAAGUCAGUGAGACCAAGAACCCACCAAUUCCGGACACAUUACCACUUGUAUAUUUCUGAAUCUACAGUUCUCUUCCAGGUUUUAGACUAAACAUGCUUUUUCUUCUAGUGGUGGGCCUAAAGAAAAAUGGGCGUUUCUCCAGUUAAUUUUCUUAUUCUUGUAGCUAUAUUUUUAAAAAUGUUGAGUUCUGUGUUAAUAAAAAAAAACCUGUAAUCGGUAAGCAUUUAUCUCUCAAGUAGCUGGUAAUAUUUAUAAAAUAAACAGGAAUUUCAGAACAGUUUUAGAUUUACAGAAAAAUCACAAAGAUAGUACAGAGAUCCCAUAUACCACACACAUCUUCCCCUAUAUACCACACACAUCUUCCCCUAUUAUUAGUAUCUUUUUUUUAGUGCACUUGCCACAAUUAAUGAACUAAUAUUAAUGCAUCAUUGACAAAAGUCUAUAAUUUAUUGAGAUUUCCUUAAUGUUGCCUAAUUUCCUUAUCCUGUUCCAGGAUUCCAUCAGUAUGUCAUAUUACAUUUAGUAAUCAUGUCUUCUUAGGAUCCUUUUUGCUGUGACAGUUUCUCAGACUAACUUAGAUUUUAAUGGCUUUGACAAUUUUCAGUAGUACUAGUCAGCUUUUUUGCAGGAUGUUCUUCUGUUGGGAUGUGUCUGAUCAUUUUUUUUUUCUCAUCAUUAUUAGCCUGGAUUUAUGGGUAUUGGAGAGGAAGUCCUCAGAAGUAAAGUGUCAUUUCAUCAUAUCAUGAGCAUAUACUAUCACUGGGAUUGAUAGUUUAUCAGGCUUCUCCACUGCAAAGUUAAUUUUUUCUUCCCUUAGCAUUGUACUCUUUUCACAUUGUAUUGGAAUUGUCUAUACAUAGCCCAUGCUUAAGGAGUGAUGAGUCAUGCUUCACCUCGUUGAUAGCAAAAAGUAUCACAUAAAUUAUUUGUAAUUCUUCUGUAUGGAGUUGUACCUUUUCUCCUCUAUUUAUUCAACCACUUCUUUAUCAAUGUGAACUCAUGGAUUAUUAUUUUAAAACUUGGGUUAUAAACCAAUACUACUGUUUUGUUGUCCAGAUUGUUCCAUCUUUAGACAAUGGAAGGUCUCUCAGUUGACUCCUGUGUUUCUUUGACAUAUCCUCAUCAUCCUAUCAUUUCUUCUGUUUCUUUUUUUUAAAAACAAUCUCUUAUUUUCAGACGCUACAUGAUGCUCCAAACUCAUCUCAUGUAUUUCCUUCCCAAAACUUACAAACAGCCUAUUUUCCAAAGAGCAGAUUUGUUUCUUUUUUUCUGAUCCCCACGUGUGAGAGUACCUGUUGCUCCACAUCCUCACCAGCAAUUUUCAGCGUUUUGAAUUUUAUCAAAAUAUUAUUAUACAACACGGAAGUUUUAAUUAAGAAGGGACUAAUAUCAUUAAGAAUAGCC
rnacentral:lncRNA from 1 species